UUUGAAACUGAGCUGAGAUAUGCCUUUCGUAGACCUGCCAUGCUCUCAUACGUCCUUUGUAUACCGUGUGAUAUUAUUGUUGCCUCAUACACACUACAGCAAUUGAGUGGCAUAUCCCUGCAUACCACAUACCGGAAAUAAAGAAAAGGUAUGACCAAGACUCGAAGCAGUGAACCUCGAGGACGAACCGAGUCUCGGAUUGGCCAGGCGGAGGUCCCACGCGCUGGCGUCACCACUUGAGGACCGAGGCGCCGCGCGGUUACGUGGAGAUCUGAAUUGCGCGUUAAUCACCCCAGUAAUGGAACACCUGUGUCAUUAGUUUGUGUAGUGAUCGUUAAUUGUACGUGACAGUAGUGCAGACCAAGGAAGGUUUAGACUCUGUAGCUUCCAUGGUGCAGACUUUGCCGGGAGAAGCCAGCGGGCGUGGGUACUGAGCGCCGGCAGCGGGGAGUGUGGUGCUGCAGGUCUGGUGUUCCUUGCCUGAUUUCCUCCGUGGCGGCGCCGGACAGCAGUAGGAGCGAGCAAAUGAUGAUGUAAAGGCCUGCAAGGAAGUGGUGGUGCAGGCAGCUGCCAAGAAAUGAUGCUACAAACACACGUGACAGACUCAUGUUGCAAGGACGAGAUGGUGUUGCAAAGGCGGGCGAAAGAAGGGUUUUGCAACAACAGACGAAAUGGCGUUGCAAGGACGGCUGGUAAAACAGUAUUGCUGCCCAAACUUCCUAAACCCACACGUGUCUCACCUUCACCUGCUGGCAUUGCGAUAUAAGGAAAACUUUACCCUUCUGGGGACCUUAUCAGACUUAUCAACGCUCGCUGUGCUCCUCGAGAUCUCCCUUUGAGGCCUCGGGGAAGUGGCUGGAAAAAGGGAGAAAAACGAUCGAGGGAUAGAUAUAAAAAAAAAAGAGUGGGGAGGAGGAGAGGACGUGAUGCAAUUUAGCGUGUAGGACAAAAAGGGCUGAGUUCAAGGGAUGAGGUGGGCAAGGCUGGAUAUCUGAUUCCUAGCGCCACCGCACGGCCCACCACCGGGACCCAAGACUCCCCCACCUGCGGGCUGGUGCCCGCUUUGUGUAUUAUGUGAUGAAGGACACGUGGACCUGUGGAUUGUGUUUAUGUCAGUGUUGGGUCGCCCUCAAUGGGUCUCAAGUGAGGAGGAGGAUCUGUGCAGCCUCUCAGGACUCCUGCUGGGGGAAAUUGCUCUGCUCGAGGGAUCACGGUGAUGUCACAGAGAGCAAGUAGAAGAAAACCUGGGAGACUUGCUUAACUCAGGAACAAGAGCUGCACCUCACCGGAGCUCUGCAAUGUGUGGCAGCGACUGCAGGAAUCAACACUCGGGUUUGUCAGCACACAGUCACAGCAACCUUGUUCAUCAGACUGUUGGUGAAAGAUUCCACAGACCGACUGGGAGACACACAAUGUCAGUGCCACCGCACAGGGAGUGAGGCCCAAGAGGAGGAAGAGGAGCAUUCAAGAGACAUCAGCUGGCCAGCAGUCCAUUCAGGAGUGGAUGGCAGGAGUCAGUAAUCAAUAGUAUCUGGCUAGGCAUAUGUUGCACCAGUAUGCUUGAACAGCUUUGUACUAGAAAUUCAUGAUGCUGGGUGUGUGCAGUGCGUCACCUGAGAGUUCACGGCUCACU